rnacentral:rRNA from 1 species
UGGCUCAGAUUGAACGCUGGCGGCAUGCCUUACACAUGCAAGUCGAACGGUAACAGGUCUUUCGGGAUGCUGACGAGUGGCGAACGGGUGAGUAAUACAUCGGAACGUGCCUAGUAGUGGGGGAUAACUACUCGAAAGAGUGGCUAAUACCGCAUGAGAUCUAUGGAUGAAAGCAGGGGACCUUCGGGCCUUGUGCUACUAGAGCGGCCGAUGGCAGAUUAGGUAGUUGGUGGGAUAAAAGCUUACCAAGCCUACGAUCUGUAGCUGGUCUGAGAGGACGAUCAGCCACACUGGGACUGAGACACGGCCCAGACUCCUACGGGAGGCAGCAGUGGGGAAUUUUGGACAAUGGGGGAAACCCUGAUCCAGCAAUGCCGCGUGCAGGAUGAAGGCCUUCGGGUUGUAAACUGCUUUUGU